rnacentral:rRNA from 1 species
ACGAACGCUGGCGGCGUGCCUAACACAUGCAAGUCAACUUGACUGAAGGAGCAAUCUGACAGUAGAGUGGCGCAAGGGUGCGUAACGCGUAAGUAACUUGCCCAAGGUAAGGAAUAACGUCGAGAAAUCGGCGCUAAUACCUCAUAAUGCAGCGGAUCCGCAUGGAUAUGUUGUUAAAGGUUUACCGCCUUGGGAUAGGCUUGCGUCUGAUUAGCUAGUUGGUGUGGUAACGGCACACCAAGGCUACGAUCAGUAACUGGUCUGAGAGGAUGAUCAGUCACACUGGAACUGAGACACGGUCCAGACUCCUACGGGAGGCAGCAGUGAGGAAUAUUGGGCAAUGCUCGAAAGAGUGACCCAGCAACGCCGCGUGGAGGAUGAAGGUAUUCUAUAUCGUAAACUCCUGUGAGAGCAGACGAAAGACAGAUUAUUAAUCUGGAUGACUGUAUGCUCAGAGGAAGCCCCGGCUAACUACGUG